UGUUUAUGAAUCAUCGAUGACCUCAUGAAACAAACGACUCUUUCUUGAAGUAAACAUUUCGAAAUGAAAGGAGCAGUUUAAAAUUGUAUUAGUCUAUUUGAGCAUUCCGCAAAAUCUAACGUUUUCUGUACCUUAUACGUAUAUACUGUGGAUCACAAGACAACAAAUGUUUUUUUCUGAAACAUUUAAUCAGCAGUUAAUAUAGUUUUUCAAAAAGCGAUAUACAAAUGGUACGAAACGAGGAAGACAAUAAGUUUAUAAACAAGUGUACGGAAAUACAUGGCUAAAAAUGUAAGAAACGUGCCUUGUUUAUCUAACAAAAGAGAGAAAGAAGGUUGUCUUUCAAACAACGUUCUCCACGUGCCAUAAAUAUUAUCUUGUAUUCCCUGAGUUUCAAACAAAUCUUUGAACGAUCCAAUGUCCAAUCAAAAAGAUCGCGCUCCAACUAGCGUUCGCUAGUUUAAGAAAACAUACACAUCACAAAGACAGGGCUAGAAGGAAGAUUCUAACUAAGAGAUUCGAUCCGGUUGAAAAGUUAUUCGUUCGUCUCAACAACACCCGUCGCGUUGGCAGUUAAAAGUCGGCCACUAAAAACCAGAUUCCAUGCCACUGUGUAUACGCUAUGCGCACCACCCUCUCGCGAGAGCUCGAGCUCUGGCGCUCGCCGCCUCCGCGUAGGUGGAAUUAUUUUCUAGUAACGCGUACCACGUUACCACCCUGUAAAUUAACCAUCGACUGGAUCGUGUGGGCGUCGUCAAUCGCAUUAUUAUAGCACGCGGUAGUAAAUUUAGCGAAAUCACGCGGUCUAACGUUACAGAUUCGACCACGUUACUAUCGUUUUUAACUUUUGAUCAACGAAUCACUGUUCUUCGAUUACUACGACUACUACCAAGUAUCUAUGGACUAUUAUAUCUUUUCAAACAUUUAGAUAAUUUUCUAACGAAUAAAUUGUUUUCAGAGAAGAACCGUAAAAAGAAUGUUCGAACUCCCGGAAUUUUUUUAUUUGAACAGAUGACUCUCACAAAUCUGGAAUAAUAAAAUUAAUUGAUGACUGGAGAAAGAAAAGAGAGAAGAGAGAAAUAAAGCUUCUAAAAUAGACAAAACGAGCAUAGAUAAGUCAGAAUAUGAAUUCCGCCGCCAGGCUUCGCUCCCAUUAUCGAGCGUUCCAAAACAAUGCACUCAGGAUAUCUUAUGGCAAAUUACCACAGCAUCCAGCUCGAUCUAAACGACGAUGGGUAGAGUGGAAGUGCACAGGGCAUAAAUCGCAGCUUAUACAUAGGUCAGAGUAUAAAUCGUGCGGUUCAAGCGCGAAAGCACCGGCCGGAGAUAUGGAGGGGCUGUACCGCGUUCUAUGGGAGUAUUUCGAAAUUCUCCCAACUCGCUGAAACAAUGUAAUAAGAAUCCUGUCAAAGUAUAGAGGAAACGCGGACAUGAAAUCUAGUGGACAAUGGAACGAUCGAUAAGUGUUCUAGAUUAAGCAAAUCAUAGACGUACAUUUGGAGGCUGAAUUUCACUUAUGAGGCGGUAUUGACGCUGGGGUAUCAGUUUCCGAUGUUCUACGCGAAAAACUUGCGUUCUACCUGGUAUCGACGAUUUGACCUCUUGACUGGGCGCGUAAGUUGGCGCACUGGAGGCGAGAAUUUAUAAACCUGCAACUCGAGUCGAGCUCCUACCGUACUUUGCGGCGAACAACACACGUGCACUCUGUGUCCGGAAAACACGAACCCUUUCAUUACGAUGAAUCAAAUCAAAACGAAUUUAGUUGAAUGAAAUCGCGAUCGUAUCUGUCAGACUCUGGUUUUUUUUUUUUUUUAUUAUUAAUAUAAACGCAGUGUGUAUGAUUUACUAUUUGGAUAUUUUAUAUAUUUCUUAAUCUGGUAAAUGUAAUAAUUAUAGGUUCGUGAAUUAACAUCACGAGUGUAUCUCCAGCGAGUGUUACUAUAAACAGUUGUUUCCUAAACGAUGAGACAGGCUGUGAAAAAAUUUAUUGAAAUAGACAGCUAAGCCACGAUCGUGUCAUGCGGGUAUUGCGAAUCCAUUCUGUAUCGAUUUAAUGGUUCGACGAUAAUCGUAUCAUGUUGAAUUUGAGUAUGUUUAUUAAGUAGAGUAUGAAGGACUAGGAAUGGUUCAUUGUUUUAAUUAAUGAGUAACUGACAAUGUUUGAUAUAUGCCAGUGGCUACAAAAGCAUGUGAAUAUCAUUGUAUUUAUGAUAAGAUUUAUAUACUAAUUAAUUAAGUCCAAGUAAGUAUGUUGAAUAUCGAAUCGUUUAAUAGCAUGUUAAAAACUUGAAAAUACAUAAAAAGAAAGAUGAUA